rnacentral:rRNA from 1 species
GAUGAACGCUAGCUACAGGCUUAACACAUGCAAGUCGAGGGGCAGCAUGGAGGUAGCUUGCUAUCUCCGAUGGCGACCGGCGCACGGGUGAGUAACGCGUAUCCAACCUUCCCUGAGGUAGGGGACAGCCCGGUGAAAACCGGAUUAACUCCUGAUAGUUUCACUAGAUGGCAUCUGACGGUGAAUAAAGCUUAGCGGUAAGGGAUGGGGAUGCGUCUGAUUAGCUUGUUGGCGGGGUAACGGCCCACCAAGGCGACGAUCAGUAGGGGUUCUGAGAGGAAGGUCCCCCACAUUGGAACUGAGACACGGUCCAAACUCC